rnacentral:tRNA from 1 species
UCCCAGGUGGCUCAGUGGUAAAGAAUCUGCCUGCAGUGCAGGAGACCUGGGUUCGAUCCCUGGGUUGGGAA